AUUGAACGCUGGCGGCAUGCCUUACACAUGCAAGUCGAACGGUAACGGGCCUUCGGGUGCCGACGAGUGGCGCACGGGUGAGUAAUACAUCGGAACGUGUCCGAUCGUGGGGGAUAACGAGGCGAAAGCUUUGCUAAUACCGCAUACGAUCUACGGAUGAAAGCAGGGGACCGCAAGGCCUUGCGCGGACGGAGCGGCCGAUGGCAGAUUAGGUAGUUGGUGGGAUAAAAGCUUACCAAGCCGACGAUCUGUAGCUGGUCUGAGAGGAUGAUCAGCCACACUGGGACUGAGACACGGCCCAGACUCCUACGGGAGGCAGCAGUGGGGAAUUUUGGACAAUGGGCGCAAGCCUGAUCCAGCCAUGCCGCGUGCAGGAUGAAGGCCUUCGGGUUGUAAACUGCUUUUGUACGGAACGAAAAGCCUUCUUUUAAUACAGGAGGGUCAUGACGGUACCGUAAGAAUAAGCACCGGCUAACUACGUG
rnacentral:rRNA from 1 species